GACUCUCGCAACGGAUAUCUCGGCUCUCGCAUCGAUGAAGAACGUAGCGAAAUGCGAUACUUGGUGUGAAUUGCAGAAUCCCGUGAACCAUCGAGUCUUUGAACGCAAGUUGCGCCCGAAGCGUUAGGCCGAGGGCACGUCUGCCCUGGGCGUCA
rfam:Ipomoea nil DNA, scaffold: scaffold0970, cultivar: Tokyo-kokei standard.